UACAGAGGUCUCAAGCGUUGUUCGGAUUCAUUGGGCGUAAAGGGUGCGUAGGCGGCGCGGUAAGUCGGAUGUGAAAUCUCGGGGCUUAACUCCGAAACUGCAUUCGAUACUGCCGUGCUUGAGGACUGGAGAGGAGACUGGGAUUUACGGUGUAGCGGUGAAAUGCGUAGAUAUCGUAAGGAAGACCAGUGGCGAAGGCGGGUCUCUGGACAGUUCCUGACGCUGAGGCACGAAGGCCAGGGGAGCAAACGGG
rnacentral:rRNA from 1 species